AAAAUGACGUGCAGGCAGCAGGGGGAAGAGGGAUGGGUGAAGAGGUGAUCGGAAGUGAUGGGAGAAAAGGGGGCUGAGGAUGUGUGGUAAGACAGAUGGGAAAGUCUAUGGGUGAAGAGUGGAGAUGGGUUUGGAACUGCAAGGCUGGAGUAUGGGAGGUGGGGGUGGAAUUAUUGGUGUAGGGGUAAAAUCCGUAGAUAUCAGGAGGAAUAUCGAUGGCGAAGGCGGCCUCCUGGGACAUUACUGACGCUAAGGCGCGAAAGCGUGGGGAGCAAACAGGAUUAGAUACCCGUGUAGUC
rnacentral:rRNA from 1 species